rnacentral:ncRNA from 2 species
UUCUUAUCCAGAGUGGUGGAGGGACUGGCCCGAUGAAACCCAGCAACCCCCUUUUUAAAAGGAAGGUGCUAAUUCCAGCAAUAUCCAUGUGAUGUUGAGAGAUAAGAG